rnacentral:lncRNA from 1 species
GACAGAUAACGAAAUUGACAAGCGCGAACUCUUGCGCUUUGAAGGAUUGCGAAGAGAAACCAGCGCACGACACGCAGUAUCGAUGGCACAAACCGUAUGCGCGCACGGGGUGCGGCAAAAAUGGAUUCCAAUACGGGACCAACAGUUCUCAGGAUAGCGUCCGUACAC